GGGUGCGAUCAUACCAACGUUAAUGCACCAGAUCCCAUCAGAAGUCCGCAGUUAAGCGCGCUUGGGCUAGAGUAGUACUGGGAUGGGUGACCUCCCGAGAAGUCCUAGUGUUGCACCCU
rnacentral:rRNA from 1 species